rnacentral:rRNA from 1 species
AAAACAAAGUGUAGCUUUGCCUGCUAUCUCUUACCCAUGUCUUUUGAGUACCUUACGUUUCCUCGGUGGGUUCGCCCACCGAUUGGACAAAUUUAAACCCUUUGCAGUUGAAAUCAGCGUCUGAAAAAAACUUAAUAGUUACAACUUUCAACAACGGAUCUCUUGGUUCUGGCAUCGAUGAAGAACGCAGCGAAAUGCGAUAAGUAGUGUGAAUUGCAGAAUUCAGUGAAUCAUCGAAUCUUUGAACGCACAUUGCGCCCCUUGGUAUUCCAUGGGGCAUGCCUGUUCGAGCGUCAUUUGUACCUUCAAGCUCUGCUUGGUGUUGGGUGUUUGUCUCCUGUAGACUCGCCUCAAAACAAUUGGCAGCCGGCGUAUUGAUUUCGGAGCGCAGUACAUCUCGCGCUUUGCACUCAUAACGACGACAUCCAAAAGUACAUUUUUACACUCUUGACCUCGGAUCAGGUAGGGAUACCCGCUGAACUUAAGCAUAUCAAAAGCCGGGAGGAA